CCUACGGGUGGCUGCAGUGGGGAAUAUUGGACAAUGGGCGAAAGCCUGAUCCAGCCAUGCCGCGUGUGUGAAGAAGGCCUUCGGGUUGUAAAGCACUUUCAGUGGGGAAGAAAGCCUUGGGGCUAAUACCCUCGAGGAAGGACAUCACCCACAGAAGAAGCACCGGCUAACUCCGUGCCAGCAGCCGCGGUAAUACGGAGGGUGCGAGCGUUAAUCGGAAUUACUGGGCGUAAAGCGCGCGUAGGCGGUCUGAUAAGCCGGUUGUGAAAGCCCCGGGCUCAACCUGGGAAUGGCAUCCGGAACUGUCAGGCUAGAGUGCAGGAGAGGAAGGUAGAAUUCCCGGUGUAGCGGUGAAAUGCGUAGAGAUCGGGAGGAAUACCAGUGGCGAAGGCGGCCUUCUGGACUGACACUGACGCUGAGGUGCGAAAGCGUGGGUAGCAAACAGGAUUAGAUACCCGAGUAGUC
rnacentral:rRNA from 1 species